rnacentral:rRNA from 1 species
UGCAAGUCGAACGCUUUUUCUUUCACCGGAGCUUGCUCCACCCGAAAGAAGAGGAGUGGCGAACGGGUGAGUAACACGUGGGUAACCUGCCCAUCAGAAGGGGAUAACACUUGGAAACAGGUGCUAAUACCGUAUAACAGUAGAAACCGCAUGGUUUCUAUUUGAAAGGCGCUUUUGCGUCACUGAUGGAUGGACCCGCGGUGCAUUAGCUAGUUGGUGAGGUAACGGCUCACCAAGGCAACGAUGCAUAGCCGACCUGAGAGGGUGAUCGGCCACAUUGGGACUGAGACACGGCCCAAACUCCUACGGGAGGCAGCAGUAGGGAAUCUUCGGCAAUGGACGAAAGUCUGACCGAGCAACGCCGCGUGAGUGAAGAAGGUUUUCGGAUCGUAAAACUCUGUUGUUAGAGAAGAACAAGGAUGAGAGUAAAACGUUCAUCCCUUGACGGUAUCUAACCAGAAAGCCACGGCUAACUACGUGC